UUGCGGUGGCGUCGAAGGCUUACGGGCGUGAGCCUGGCUGGAGCCGCCGUCGGUGCAGAUCUUGGUGGUAGUAGCAAAUACUCAAGCGAGAACCUUGAGGACUGAAGUGGAGAAGGGUUCCAUGUGAACAGCAGUUGAACAUGGGUCAGUCGAUCCUAAGGUAUCGGCGAAAGCCGUUCAGAAGCGGUGUGGAUAGUGCCUUCGGGUACUGGUUGGUGUAGCUUCGGGUUGGUCUGAUCACCGCACCUACCGAAAGGGAAUCGGGUUAAUAUUCCCGAACCCGGCAUCGGAUACGCCAGCUUUCGGGCUGGCAAAUGCGGUAACGCAAAUGAACUCGGAAACGCUGACACGUGCCCUAGAAAGAGUUGUCUUUUCUUCAUAAGGCGCGGGCUCCCUGGAAUCGGAUCAUCCGGCGAUAGGGAGAUGGCGUCCGUAGAGCACCGCGGUUCUUGCGGUGUCUGGUGCGCACGUGUCGGUCCUUGAAAAUCCGAGGGAGAGUGUGAUUUUCGUGCCGGAUCGUACCCAUAUCCGCAGCAGUCUCC
rnacentral:rRNA from 1 species